AGCGCAGUCCUUCGGGACCGAGCGGCGGACGGGUUAGUAACGCGUGGGAACGUACCCAGAUCUACGGAAUAGCCUCGGGAAACUGAGAGUAAUACCGUAUACGCCCUUCGGGGGAAAGAUUUAUCGGAUUUGGAUCGGCCCGCGUUAGAUUAGAUAGUUGGUGAGGUAACGGCUCACCAAGUCUACGAUCUAUAGCUGGUUUUAGAGGAUGAUCAGCAACACUGGGACUGAGACACGGCCCAGACUCCUACGGGAGGCAGCAGUGGGGAAUCUUAGACAAUGGGCGCAAGCCUGAUCUAGCCAUGCCGCGUGUGUGAUGAAGGCCUUAGGGUCGUAAAGCACUUUCGCCAGAGAUGAUAAUGACAGUAUCUGGUAAAGAAACCCCGGCUAACUCCGUGCCAGCAGCCGCGGUAAUACGGAGGGGGUUAGCGUUGUUCGGAAUUACUGGGCGUAAAGCGUACGUAGGCGGAUCAGAAAGUAUGGGGUGAAAUCCCAGGGCUCAACCCUGGAACUGCCUCAUAAACUCCUGGUCUAGAGUUCGAGAGAGGUGAGUGGAAUUCCGAGUGUAGAGGUGAAAUUCGUAGAUAUUCGGAGGAACACCAGUGGCGAAGGCGGCUCACUGGCUCGAUACUGACGCUGAGGUACGAAAGUGUGGGGAGCAAACAGGAUUAGAUACCCUGGUAGUCCACACCGUAAACGAUGAAUGCCAGUCGUCGGGUA
rnacentral:rRNA from 1 species